CCGAUACGAAGCAGCAAGUAUGGCUGUCAGUCAUAUCAUAAGUGUCAAAACGUUGUCGCGUGUCACGUUGGAUCGUCUAUAAACACGUUUACCUGAGCUCGUGGGGCACCGGCAUGGACAAUAUCAGGGACGGCUGGUUUAAGGAGACGUGCACAUUAUGGCCCGGCCAAGCCACUAGUCUCCAAGUGGACGAGGUCCUCUACCACAAGAAAUCCAAAUUUCAAGACGUGUUGGUGUUCAAGAGUAAAACGUACGGCAACGUGUUGGUACUGGAUGGAGUGAUCCAGUGCACGGAGAGGGAUGAGUUUGCAUAUCAGGAAAUGAUUGCCAACCUCCCCCUGUAUAGCCACCCUUGCCCCAGAAAGGUUCUCAUUAUUGGCGGUGGUGAUGGUGGCGUGCUGAGGGAAGUGGUGAAGAAUGCUCAGGUGGAGUCAGUGGUCCUCUGUGAGAUCGACGAGGACGUUAUUGAUGUCUCAAAGAAGUUCCUCCCAGGCAUGGCCAAAGGUUUCUUCAGUCCAAAGCUCACCCUCCAUGUUGGAGAUGGCUUUGAAUUUAUGAAGCAAAACCAAGAUGCCUUUGACAUCAUUAUUACUGAUUCAUCCGACCCUGUUGGCCCUGCUGAAAGUUUAUUCAAGGAGAGUUACUAUCAACUGAUGAAGACAGCAUUAACCAAAGGCGGAAUUCUCUGCUCCCAGGGAGAGUGUCAAUGGCUGCAUUUGGACCUGAUAAAGGAAAUGCAAACCUUUUGCAAGACCUUAUUCCCAGUGGUGGACUAUGCCUACGGCACCAUCCCAACUUAUCCCAGUGGCCAAAUUGGAUUCAUGCUAUGCAGUAAGAACCCUGAAACACAUUUCCGGAAGCCGAUGAAAGAACUUUCAAAAUCAGAACUGGAAAGCAUGAACUUGAAAUAUUAUAACACUGAGAUUCACAAAGCAGCAUUCGUCCUCCCAGAGUUUGCAAGAAAGACUUACAGCCUCAGUGGGAUCGUACUCCCUGAUUGGAUUGCUCAUCUUACCUGAUUUAAAUAUGGAAACAUUGGCUUUGAUUGGUCCAUUUCACGGGAUCUACUGGAUCAGGAUCAGAAUCCUCUUUAUUUGCCAAGUACUCAAAGACGUUUGAUUGGCCACAGCAGAGCAAUGUGUUCAUCCUCCACCUGCUCCUCAGUCCACAGAUAAACAAAUACAGCUUCUCCUCCUCCUCAGCGCUGUUAAGCUCCCUCGAAAGUGUAGCCCCAUCAAGAUUUCACGGUGUGUUUGUGGGAUGGGGGCAUUUGCUUCGUGUUACUAUACAUUGUUCCAGUCCGAAACAACACCAGGGUUUGUUUAUUUCCUGUUUUCUUCCAUUAGUCAUAUUAAUAGUGAGCUUGCCUCAUGAGGAAUUGAUGCCAUCCAACACUGACCUCACGCUAAAGGACUGUACUGUUCAAAUUGCAUCUGUGCGUUUCACAUAAUGUUACAUGCAAUGUAUUGUUCCACUUUCAUUUAAAAAUGUUCUUUGUUCAAAGGAAUGUCUAUAUAUGUUGAGAAUACAAACAGAUCCUCAUGAAUUUGGAAAGGAAUGCACCUCAGUGGGUUUUUUUAUUAAUCUGGUUCUGUAUGUAUUAACAGUCAAGUAGAAAACGCUCCCUUUAAAAGCAGAUGAUACACUUAGGACUGGAGCUGCGACAUUUUAUUAAAAUGCUAGAUCACACAAUUACUGGGGGUUUGGCCAAUGGGAGGAAGCUUGUACUGUGUUAAGCCUUACCGUGGGAUGGCGUCAUAUUACAGUGCAGUUGUUUAGCUAACAUCUGAAACCAAUUGCUGUGCAUCUGUAUGGAAAAAAAUGAUUUUUUUUUAAAAUAAAACUCAUCAACUGUAAUACA